AUGAAACCGAGGCUAUUGCAGGAGGCUUCUCUGCAGAAGAAUAUUUUCCAUUUGUUGGUUAGAUUAUCGAUAGGAUUACAGGUCAUCAAGCAAAAAUUGAUCAAGUUUUCCUCAAGUUAGAUGCUCUCUUCCAGCGACUGAUGAUCAUCUUAAACCAGGAAGGACGACGGAGCAAGAAGACAUUGUUGACGUGCUUUUUAUGCAGUUUGAUAAUGCACCAACUUGAAGCAGGAUCUCAUCCUGGGCUUAUUUACAUAUCAUUUUUAUG
rnacentral:misc_RNA from 1 species